CCAAAGGCUCUUUUCAGAGCCACCCACGUAGUCUUUUAAAGGUCUG
rfam:Heterocephalus glaber contig179875, whole genome shotgun sequence.